CAUAUUUUGGGGUUUUUUUUCAGAUUUCUCAGGUCACCACAUGAACUGUGACAUAGUUUCUCAAAUGUUGCUAUAGCCUAUGAACAUUAUCAGCCUCAGAAAGCUCUUAUUUUGGCCCUGUAAAAGCUCCGCCUGCAUUAACAACACCAAACAACACUGAAGGCCCAUUUGCUUUCUGCGGUCCAUUGGCGAGGAGAAAACUGCCUGCUCACCGAUGCUGCAGCUGGUCUCACAAAGCAGCAGCCUGGAAGAGAAAACCCACUCACAAUUCAGUGCCUUCAGGUAGUUUUAGAGAACUAGUGAGACCCACACACCUAAAUUUGUCUCCAGCAUCAAGGUCUAAGAGAAAAAUCCCAGCAAAGUGCCCAGUGCAGUCCUGGAUUUUUCAAGGUAAAAGAGCCUUUCUGUCAGAUAUAUUUUUAACUGAUUUUUACCAUAAAACCUCAAAUAUUUUCUUUUUACUUUCAUUUUUUUUCCUGACACAAAAACAGCAUAGAAAAUAAGGAAGGAGUAAGCUUCCUACAUCUCUGCAACUGUUCUCAUCAUGACAGAAAUUGUUCUCGGUCGCCCAGGGUGGGAUUUAUGCAAUGUAAGAAAUUUUGGAGCUGUAUAACUGAUGAUUACUCAGGAAAGUACAGUUGCUCUUUCGGCUACUUUUUGGCACCAACAAUAAAGUAACUUCUAUAUUUUAAAAUUUUCA
rnacentral:lncRNA from 1 species